rnacentral:lncRNA from 1 species
ACCGUUCUUUUAACUGCGCAGGCGCGCCGGAAGCACCUAGAGAGCGGCGCGUGCGCAGCGGGAGUCGAAGCGGAGAUCCCGGGGUCGCGCGAGAGCCGCAAGCGGAGUUGGUGGGCGCUAUGCUAUCACCCGAGGCAGAGCGAGUGCUGCGGUACCUUGUAGAAGUGGAGGAGCUCGCCGAGGAGGUGCUGGCGGACAAGCGGCAGAUAGC